UACGGGGGGGGCAAGCGUUGUUCGGAAUUACUGGGCGUAAAGGGCUCGUAGGCGGCCAACUAAGUCAGACGUGAAAUCCCUCGGCUUAACCGGGGAACUGCGUCUGAUACUGGAUGGCUAGAGUUUGGGAGAGGGAUGCGGAAUUCCAGGUGUAGCGGUGAAAUGCGUAGAUAUCGGGAGGAACACCAGUGGCGAAAGCGGCUACCUGGCCCAUUCUUGACGCUGAGGCGCGAAAGCUAGGGGAGCAAACGGG
rnacentral:rRNA from 1 species